UACGAAGGGGGCUAGCGUUGCUCGGAAUCACUGGGCGUAAAGCGCACGUAGGCGGAUUGUUAAGUCAGGGGUGAAAUCCUGGAGCUCAACUCCAGAACUGCCUUUGAUACUGGCGAUCUUGAGUCCGGGAGAGGUGAGUGGAACUGCGAGUGUAGAGGUGAAAUUCGUAGAUAUUCGCAAGAACACCAGUGGCGAAGGCGGCUCACUGGCCCGGUUCUGACGCUGAGGUGCGAAAGCGUGGGGAGCAAACAGG
rnacentral:rRNA from 1 species